UACGUAGGAGACGAGCGUUGUCCGGAAUUACUGGGCGUAAAGCGCGUGUAGGCGGGUCCGCAAGUCUGCUGUGAAAGCUCCUGGCUUAACCGGGAGUGGUCGGUGGAAACUGCGAACCUGGAGGACGGUAGAGGUAGGUAGAAUUCCCGGUGUAGUGGUGAAAUGCGUAGAGAUCGGGAGGAAUACCUGUGGCGAAGGCGGCCUACUGGGCCGGACCUGACGCUGAGACGCGGAAGGCGUGGGGAGCGAACGGG
rnacentral:rRNA from 1 species